AGUGAACGCUGGCGGUAGGCCUAACACAUGCCAGCCGAACGGCAGCACAGUAAGAGCUUGCUCUUACGGGUGGCGAGUGGCGGACGGGUGAGGAAUACAUCGGAAUCUACUUUUUCGUGGGGGAUAACGUAGGGAAACUUACGCUAAUACCGCAUACGACCUACGGGUGAAAGCAGGGGAUCUUCGGACCUUGCGCGAUUGAAUGAGCCGAUGUCGGAUUAGCUAGUUGGCGGGGUAAAGGCCCACCAAGGCGACGAUCCGUAGCUGGUCUGAGAGGAUGAUCAGCCACACUGGAACUGAGACACGGUCCAGACUCCUACGGGAGGCAGCAGUGGGGAAUAUUGGACAAUGGGCGCAAGCCUGAUCCAGCCAUGCCGCGUGGGUGAAGAAGGCCUUCGGGUUGUAAAGCCCUUUUGUUGGGAAAGAAAAGCAGCAGGUUAAUACCCCGCUGUUCUGACGGUACCCAAAGAAUAAGCACCGGCUAACUUCGUG
rnacentral:rRNA from 1 species